rnacentral:rRNA from 1 species
AGAGUUUGAUCCUGGCUCAGAACGUACGCUGGCGGCACGCCUAACACAUGCAAGUCGAACGAAGUAGCAAUACUUAGUGGCAGACGAGUGAGUAACAUGUAGGUAUCUGCCCUUUGGCCUGGAAUAACACGAGGAAACUUGUGCUAAUACCGGAUAAGUCUUUACAGAGAAAGCUUUAUGCACCAUUGGAUGAGCCUGCACUUGAUUAGUUUGUUGGUGGGGUAAUGGCCUACCAAGACUGUGAUCAAUAGCUGAUUUGAGAGGAUGAUCAGCCACAUUGGGACUGAGACACGGCCCAAACUCCUACGGGAGGCAGCAGUGGGGAAUCUUGCACAAUGGAGGAAACUCUGAUGCAGCGAUGCCGCGUGAGUGAAGAAGGCCCUUGGGUUGUAAAGCUCUUUCGUCGGGGAAGAAAAUGACUGUACCCGAAUAAGAAGGUCCGGCUAACUUCGUGCCAGCAGCCGCGGUAAUACGAAGGGACCUAGCGUAGUUCGGAAUUACUGGGCUUAAAGAGUUCGUAGGUGGUUGAAAAAGUUGGUGGUGAAAUCCCAGAGCUUAACUCUGGAACUGCCAUCAAAACUUUUCAGCUAGAGUAUGAUAGAGGAAAGCAGAAUUUCUAGUGUAGAGGUGAAAUUCGUAGAUAUUAGAAAGAAUACCAAUUGCGAAGGCAGCUUUCUGGAUCAUUACUGACACUGAGGAACGAAAGCAUGGGUAGCGAAGAGGAUUAGAUACCCUCGUAGUCCAUGCCGUAAACGAUGUGUGUUAGACGUUGGAAAUUUAUUUUCAGUGUCGCAGCGAAAGUGAUAAACACACCGCCUGGGGAGUACGACCGCAAGGUUAAAACUCAAAUGAAUUGACGGGGACCCGCACAAGUAGUGGAGCAUGUGGUUUAAUUCGAAGAUACGCGCAGAACCUUACCAACACUUGACAUGUUCGUCGCGACUUUAAGAGAUUAAAGUUUUCGGUUCGGCCGGACGAAACACAGGUGCUGCAUGGCUGUCGUCAGCUCGUGUCGUGAGAUGUUGGGUUAAGUCCCGCAACGAGCGCAACCCUCACUUUUAGUUGCCAUCAUUAAGUUGGGCACUCUGAAAGAACUGCCAGUGAUAAGCUGGAGGAAGGUGGGGAUGACGUCAAGUCCUCAUGGCCCUUACGUGUUGGGCUACACACGUGCUACAAUGGUAUCUACAACAGGAAGCAAGACCGCGAAGUUAAGCAAAUCCUUAAAAGAUACCUCAGUUCGGAUUGCACUCUGCAACUCGAGUGCAUGAAGCUGGAAUUACUAGUAAUCGUGGAUCAGCGUGCCACGGUGAAUGCGUUCCCGGGUCUUGUACACACCGCCCGUCACACCAUGGGAGUUGGUUCUACCUUAAGGCAAGGUUUAAAAUCCUUGACCACGGUAUAGUCAGCGACUGGGGUGAAGUCGUAACAAGGUAACC